rnacentral:snRNA from 1 species
GAGUGUUGGUUAGUGGGUGUCACCUUCUAACCUAACCGAUCUAUGUGCACCCUCCCAAAGCUACAUGCUAGGUGGAAGAGGACAACCUCCCCUGAAUAGAGGAGGGCUGGUCUUUGGUCAAGGGUAUCUGAGUAGCUGUGUUCCCCUGCUAGAACCCCCUGACAAGCUCUCAAGUACUAGGGGCUUGAACCCAGGCCAAAAGGCUUUGAAAGGAAGCUCCUUU